rnacentral:rRNA from 1 species
AGGACGAACGCUGGCGGCGUGCUUAACACAUGCAAGUCGAGCGAGGCUCCACCUUCGGGUGGAUGCCCUAGCGGCGAACGGGUGAGUAACACGUGGGCAACCUGCCCCUAGCACUGGGAUAACUCCGGGAAACCGGGGCUAAUACCGGAUAUGACCUUUGAGGGCAUCCUCUUUGGUGUAAAGGAUUCUGGCUAGGGAUGGGCCCGCGGCCUAUCAGCUUGUUGGUGGGGUAAUGGCCUACCAAGGCGACGACGGGUAGCCGGCCUGAGAGGGCGACCGGCCACACUGGGACUGAGACACGGCCCAGACUCCUACGGGAGGCAGCAGUGGGGAAUAUUGCACAAUGGGCGAAAGCCUGAUGCAGCGACGCCGCGUGAGGGAUGACGGCCUUCGGGUUGUAAACCGUCUUUCAGCAGGGACGAAGCGAAAGUGACGGUACCUGCAGAAGAAGCACCGGCCAACUACGUGCCAGCAGCCGCGGUAA